AGGGACACCUUCCACCAGCCCAGGUUGCUCCAAGCCCCAUCCAGCCUGGCCUUGGACACUUCCAGGGAUGGGGCAGCCACAGCUUCUCUGGGCAACCUGUGCCAGGGCCUCCCCACCCUCACAGCAAAGAAUUCCUUCCCAGUAUAUCUAAUGUAAACCUGUUCUCAGUUUAAACCCAUUCCCCCUUGUCCUGUCACUCCAGGCCCUUGGAAAUAGUCUCUCUCCAUUUUUCCUUCAGGUCCUGGAAGGCCACAAUCAGGUCACCCCAAAGCUUCUCUUCUCCAGAGUGAACAAUCCCAACUCUCCCAUCCUUUCUUCCCAGCAGAGCUGCUCCAGCCCUCUGACCAUCCUGGUGCCUCCAACAGGUCAAAGUCCUUCCUGUGCUGGGACCCCAGAGCUGGAUGCACUGGACAAACUCUUGUGCUGCUGGAAAUGAAGACUUCACUCCAAGGAUAAUGACCACGAGGAGGCAGCUGGGCCAGGAACUGUUGUCCUCACCCUGCAUCGUUGGCUCUCCAGUCCAGCCCAUCUCAGGCCAGCUCAAUGGAGAGGAGGUUUCUUGGAAGAAGAAGGGACUCUGCAGGACCAGGAGAACCUCAUGAUCUGCGGCCAAGGAGGUCAAAGCCCGAGGUUUAAGGCAGGAGGUUUAUUUGGUAACUCCCUCAGUGGAUUACACAAGCUAGGUAAAUAAAUCCCAAAGAGAAACCCAGGCUGUCUCGAACCCAGCUCAUCUGAGAUGGAACAACAGACAGAAAGGAAAAGCAGGUUGCAGUGUUGGGCUUGGAUUUUCAGAAUUGCUGAAGCUGCCCACCAAGGAGGGGCCCAGCUCGUGGCAGCUCAGACUCUCCAGAGCACCAGGGAGUCCUUGGCACAUUUCUGUAAUGAGUGCUGAAAACUGCAUUCCCAAGUUGUGUCUGUUUUUUAGGUGCAGUUGAGGGAGUUUAUCUGUUUGGACUAUUUUCCUCUCUGUUUUUUCUUUCCUCCCUGCCCCUCGAGCUUUAAUCCCUUUUGCCAGGGAUCCCAAACAAUCCCUCUUGUCCUUUUGCAGAUGCUCCCAGUGAUGUCAGAGGCAAGAGUCUGAGCCCCCUGUGAUCUCCUGAGCCAGUCCUGAUGUGCCUGGGGAGCAGCCACUGGGCAGGGAAGUGCUCCUUCAGAGCCUCCCCAUCCCAACAGUAUUCCCUCAUCCAGAAGGCUCAUGGAAGCAAGGGGAAACAAGUCUUCCUUCCUGUUGGGAAUGUGGACAUGGUGACAUGGAGCAGCCUCUCAGAAGACAGAAUCAUCCAGGGCUCUGCAGUAAAGAUCUUCAGCCAAGCUGCUGAACUCGGUCUCCGUGUCGCUGGUGCAGGUCCGGGCCCUCUGGAAAGCAAACCCCUGUGAGGUGGGAGCUGGGAGCUGGGGCUGGGACAGAGCUCAUGAGAAACAUCCUGCUUCAAGCUGGUGCAUUUAAAGAGGGAUUCACACCAAGUGUUUUCUGAGGUCAGAGCUGAGAAGGAGCACUGGGUUCAACAGGAGAAUUUUCCUGCUCCUGCUGAAGUUCUCUCGGGGUUGCUCAUCACUCUGUCCCUCAGGCCAGCAACCCCCUGCACCCACAGAUUCCCAUUUGGGCAUGUUUUACACACCCCUGCACCCACAGAUUCCCAUUUGGGCAUGUUUUACACACCCCUGCACCCACAGAUUCCCGUUUGGGCAUGUUUUACACACCCCUGCACCCACAGAUUCCCAUUUGGGCAUGUUUUACACACCCCUGCACCCACAGAUUCCCAUUUGGCAUGUUUUACAAACCCCUGCACCCACAGAUUCCCCAUGUUGGCUGCAGUGGCCACCAGACACCCCUCUGUAGUCAGAAACAAAAAGCCCCAGGAGGAGCUGAAGGGCACAGAAUCACACAAUCACUAAGGCUGGAAAAGACCUCCAAGAGCAUUCAAUCCAACCUUUGACUGACACCACCAUUCCCACUAAAUCCUGUUGUGAAGUGCCACAUCCACUCAGGUUUUGAACUCUUCCAGGGAUGGUGACUCCACCACGUCCCUGGGCAGCCCUCCCAGUGCCUGACCACCCUUUCAGGAGCAGGGUCUGAAGCAUGGUCUGAAUUCUUCUCAAUACCCAGCAGCAAAGCCCAAUGUUGGGGCCACGACCUGAUCCCUCAGCACUGAGCAGAGUUGCACAAGUGCAGGGCUGGGGUGACCUGCAGAAGGAAGCAGAAGCUGAGCAGUAGCUUUGCUUCUGGGAAGCCCUCAAGGGCAGCAGAGCAGCUCCUGGGGGACGAGCAGGUUCCCACGGGCCAUGUGGCCACCACGCUGCAGGGCUUUCAUCACCUCACCCUCUUGUUUACGCUGCAAAUUUAGGAACUGAACGUCCACAACAAACAGCUCUGAGGGUUUCACUCUCCCUGGUGACCUCAGCACAGACCAGGGUCAUGUCCUCACCUCUCCUUGCUGGUGCCACUGCCCUUGUGGCCACAGUACCAGCUGAAAGCCUCUGGUUGGUAUCACCUGCCCACACCCAGCUCCCUUUAAGUAAAGAGACAAAUAAAUAUAAAACAGUUCUGAUGAUGGUGAUGUGAAACAGCCUUUGCAAGCUCCCAUUUUCCAGCUGAAGCAUUAAUAUUUGCUAUUUCUCAUCUUAUUUGUGAUGCCCCUAGUCAUGUUAUUUUACACCCGUGGUUUAAUUAAAAACAAACAUUAUAAGAUAAUCUUUUAAGCCCAUUUCCUUGACCAGAUCAUGGUGUAAGAACCAUAUCCAAAAAAUCAAACCCCUUUUCUGAGGGGACUAAUGAAAAUCAAGUUACUGAGCUGUGCUUCCCAUGAGCAGACAAUGAGGGGUUUUAUCUUAUCUGUAAGGCAAAUGUAUUUAUCAGAAGUAACAGCAAACGUAAUAAGGCUUAAGUCCAGCUUAACAGUGGGAGCAAAACAUUUCAGAUUGCUAGGUUUAACAAAAUAAAUCAGCUCCCCAGGAGUCACCCUCCAGUCCCUGCCUUUCCCUACAAAAGGCAGAGCCAGAGGUAUGGAACAUGUGCCUGAAAUUCACUGCAUAUUAGCAAAGCACUUCAUCCUUUUGUUCAUUUUUAACCCUUCCCAAAACACAGCUUCUACAAACAAGGCCAGAUCCAGGGCUACAACGGACUGGGACCUGUCCCUGGCAGAGGAGGUGGCCACACAGCCAGGUCAGAACCCACCUCAGCAGUUAGGAUUGCAAAAAGAGCCUCAGGAGUUACUGAAUUCCAUGGAUAACCAUGUUAUUCUCAUAGCAGAGGACAUAAGCCUUGUUCCAUUAACUGCACCCAUGAAUUUCCCCCUUGGCAUGUUUUGCCCAACACACUUGACCAUGGAGCCCACAUUCACUAUGGACAUUAGAAAUUCCAAGAGGUCAAAAGGCUUUAAGUGGGCAGGAAGAAGCUCCAUGGUUUAGUGGGCGUGGUGGUGUCAGGUCAAAGGCUGCACUUGAUGAUCUUGGAGGUCUUUUCCAACCUUAAUGAUUCAGUGAUUCUAUUUGCUCUCAGCCUUAGAGGGAAAGAGCAGCACGCAGACACAAGCGUUCCUUCUAGUUAAAAAAAAAAGAAAAAGUGACUAAAAUGUUUUUUUUUACCUCGUAGUCGACUGGGAAGGGAUCUGGGAAUUUGUUGCUGGGUGUUGGGAUUGGUGGAAACAGUUUGCUCCAGACACGGUUUCUGCAAAAAACAGCAGUGGAGGGAUGUGAGAGAGCUGCUUUCUCUGAUGGAUGAUGUAUCCAACAAGCAGAACAUGUUUAGCCCCAGGAGAAGACAUGUCUCCUCACCCACCAGGCCUCCUGCCCCCCUCCCAUUCCAUCACUGGCAUCUGACAGCAGCAGCGGGUUCAGAAGGGGUCACAGUCGUGGAUAAUGGCCCAUCAGUGGACACCCUGGGGACCAGGCAGGUGUGUUGUUCCUCAUUUCUGGGCCCUGGGGACAUGUGGGUGACAAGGAGGAGAUGGGCUGAUGCUCUCCCCCAUCAGCCUCUCCCAUCACAGCUGUAGCUGGUCCGAUCCAACGGGGCAUUCCCGGGGCUUUUAGCGACAACAGGCCUGUCUGGGAGAGAAAUUAAUUGCUCUGAUCUGUCUGUUCGUGCUCAUGUUCCUCCCAAGGGCUGUGUUGUCAUGUACCUUGUUUGGACAGUCAAGACAAGCUGCCUCUUGCUCAGACUUUGGUUUCUGGACAUAAACUGCCUGUGUCUCGUGGCAGGAGAGCAACUACAAAUAAUUGUGUGCCGAGGGGACGAGGAGGAGGCAGGAAAGGCCCCAGAGGUGGCUGGCAGUAAAUGGUUCUGCUGAGUGGUGUAAUAACUCAUCCUACUAACACCCUCUGAGAUCCCCUUCCCUGCCUGACACUCCCCACCUGGCCCAGCACACAGACACUGGUAUUUUUGGGAUAGCAGGUGCUACAGGGGAACUUUUCCAUGUCUUUGCUACAUCCCAGAGUACAGCCCUCACAUUUCAACCACCACAAAAGCACAUUCGCUGCCUCCACCCCUGCAUAGCACCAUGUCCAAACAGGGCCAGAUAUGAAUAGGAACUCAGCCUGAGUGAAGACUACAGGAUUCAGUCCAGGAUUAGCAUCCAGGGUCUGUUCUGUGGGACAUCCUGAUAUCCAUGAAGCAGAGAUGUGGAGCUGAUGGGACCAAGGGCAGAUCUGCUCCUCUGCCUCGUUUAUUUUGUGACAACUCUCCUGGCUGAUGUCUGGUUAGUUCACUGCUUAUGUUCUCAGGACUAUUCUUCCAAAAGCUUCCUGAAUUCCCAGAAGUGGGAAUAUGGGGAGGAAAAGUAGGUGUGAGGUGUUUUUUGGGAGGCAUUGUUGAAAUGCUGAACACAGUGGGGCCACUGUUGGGUGCAGAGGACAAGCCAGACUGUUUGGUCACCACCAGUGGAGUGGGACAGUGAGGUGGCUGCUGGUGUAACUCAGGAGUGGGGCAGGAUGAGUGCCAAUAUCAUUACUCCACAGCACCUGGCAUCAUCUCCAUUCUUCCCAGACUUCCUCCUCAGGGUCUUGUGCCCAUAGCUGGGUCAGCUUUGCAGGCACUGUUGUGUUCACAGCCCCUACAUUUGAUCAGCUCUCCCAAACUUUUCCGAAGGGCUGGAGGCCCAUUUCAGUGCACCUCAUUCCAGCCCUGAUUUCUGCCAUUGCAGUGCAAUGUACCCACCAAGGUUUGGUUUUAUCUGGGGUUGGCACAUUCCCAGCUGUGCUGUUUGUUAGUGAAAGAUUUUGAUGGAGCCAUACCAAAGUUAUUUAUUGAGUCAGCAGAAAGCAUAAGGUACAUGUCACUUCUGGAAUAGAAACAUUUAAGGAGGGGUGACAAACACCCAAAAGAAGUGAGGCAGAAGCACUUUUGUGUCCAGGGGGGCCCCUCAGGUGCAAGAGACUUUGCAGUGAGGCCUUGGUGGGCUGGUGACAGUGGUGCCCUCACAAUGGUCCUGGUCUUUUUUGCAGGUUACUGAAAAGGUGGAGUCAUGUGAUUAAAUAUCUUGCCACAAAACAUGUCCCAGGUCUCAACAGAGGUGAGAGCAGGGCCCUUUCCCUCAGCAAUACUGGGACCUCCAGGCUUUGGACACACCCCACGGGACCCUCAUGCCUUAAGUCAGCAUUUCAGAGCCUCCAGUUACUGUGUCUGUCUCUCUGAAAUUUCCCACUUUUCCCACAGGCUGUGGCAUGAGAAGGCCAAAGAUAAGCAAAGAGGAAUAAGUAAGAGUUCGAGUUCUUCUUUUCCCUCUUCUAACUGCCACAAUGACAUUGAUGAAAUAUUUGUUUUCAGUGUGUGUCUGAGUGCCUGUUGUAGUGUUUUGCCUCUCCUGGGAUUCCCUGUGGCAUUCUUCCAGACAUGACUGGUGUCUGCUGGUGGUGGACUGGUGUGAGGUGCACAAGAGGAAGGGAUGGCCACACUAAUUUUGGGGUGUGGAGGGUGCUCCCCGUCCUCAUGGCAACCACGUGGAGUUACCACCUACCCCCUCCAGGAGCAAAUGUUAUUCCAAAGCCCAGCCUAGGGAAGCACAGAAGGUGCUCACUCACAAAGACAGGGCAAACUAGGAAAACAUCCAAUUGUGCUUUUUAUCAAGACAGGAGCUCCACCAGCUACGGCAGGUAAGUGAAGGGAAAAGCCAAUCCAAGCAGUCCCAGAGGGCUGCUCUGCCUUGCAGCACUCCUCCCAAACCGUGGGCUUUAUCUCUGAGGCCUGGCAGUGCACAGAAAAAUUUAUAGGACUCUUUGCUGUAAUGGAAUUCCUUAUAACGGCUUCAAAUCACAGGAAAUUUCAACUGAUUCCAUGGCUGGAAUUGCAUGGGACACUUCAUGAAUUUUCAGGAGCAGUAAAAACUGACAGCACUAAUGAAACCAUGAUCUAGGGAGUCUCCUCUAUUUUUCUUUUUUUAAUAUCUGCAGAUACAACAAUGAGCAGGAUACACACAGUGUUUCAUCUUCUUACUCUUCCCACCUCCUCCCAGGGCAGGCUGGGGGAUUAGAGAAGGAGGAAGGGUGGAAUGAAGCCAGCAGCUCCAUGAAACUCAGUGCAGCAGGCAGGGAACAUUUUAAUUGUUGACAAAGGUGGAAUGCAAUGAGCCUUCGGGUGCUAGGGAAUUACAGACUAGAAACUCCUGGAAGCAACCAAGCAGCUGACACUGGAAAAGCCUAAAUUUGCCUAAUGGAUUGAAAUCAUAAAAUAAAUUAGUGCAACUUCUCCAAGUUGGUCCUUAAGUCUUCCCCUGUACCUGUUUCUCCCCUGUAUCUGCUCCAGGAUCUCCAAAAGGGGUAACUGUAAUACCCAAAUACUUGCAGAACUUGCAGAAGAUGGAGCAGUGUGACUGCUGCUGACUGGGGCUGCUGUUCUGCUGUCCCAAACUGAGAGGACAGAGCUGAAGAUGGUGGUACUGGGGCAGUGGAGGACCUCGAGCUGCAGGUCAAUCCAGACAAGAAUCAGGGAUGUAAGUAAGAGCAGUUUGGGGGUUUUCACCAAUACAUCAAGGCUGCAUAGUGGGGACAAGUGUGUGUGACAGAGAACAAGAAUAGACUCUCUGGGGAGUGAAAUCUGUCUUGUUCCCAAAAAGAUUGUUUGCUGAGGCCUGUCUGCUAAUUAACUUGCCUUAAGAACAGGUUACAGACACCAGACACUUGAGGGAGAGGCAAUAACAGUGAUUUUCCUGUAACAUUCCUGUAGACAACACUUUUAUUUGAUAAAGGAAAUGUGGUAUUGAAAGGAAAAUAGUCAAGGACACGUCAGGAUGACCAAUAAAUUAAAAGGCACUAAAGAAAUGAGUAAGAAAUUAGCAGAGUUGAGGAGACCACUUCCAUUACUGGGAGCUGGGUUUAUUGUGGACUGAUAAUUGCUGCUUGCUGCAUGUUUCAGGGGAGAAGCUUCUAAUUACAUCAAUUCCUUAAUUCAUCACUUAUGAUUUGACUUGUCACAGCAACAGGAAUCCAAAGUGUACCUGGGCUUCUUCACAGCACAGUUUGGGGAGUUUGGUUAUAUGGCCUCUGGCUUUGCUACAUGGCAUCCAGAGCCUCUGUUAAUUAAAAAUAAACUAAAUAAAUAGCUCAAAUACUGAAAGCAAACAACAGUGCUCUGUACAUUUUGGCCAUGAAAGAUGCUCCCAGCAGCUUUCACCAGGGAUUAACAGAGAGUCCUCCUGGGGAAAUCACUGACCCAACCAGGCAUUUAAGUGAAGAAAUGAGAUAAGGACAAAUAGAUUUUUCAUAAGUCCACCUCACUCAGUAUAUGGGUUUGUUGUUUAAGAUUAAAUUGAAUAACCCUCCUACCCCACCAAUGCUGAAUGUUAUUAUUGAUAUUAACUUAAUGAGGCUGAUUAUUACUCAUUCAGUAUUUUUGCUUUGUAUAAUUAUGCCUGAAUACCAAACUCAGUGCCCUUUCUUAUAAAUAAGCAAAACUUGUAGCAUCCCCCCACACUUGUUGAACACCUGGUCCUUAGUUACACUGUAAUUAAAGAGAAGAUGAGGGUACUUACAUUUUGCAUAUUAAAGCAACAAGCAGGAAUGUGCAGGACGUGGACACACAAAGCACAGAGAGAAUCCAGGCCACAGAAUUCUCCAGUUUGUUUUGCCCUGAAUUUCAAGGGAGAAAAAGAAAUGAAAGAUAUUAUUUUAGUGCAGAUUAUUUUAAGCACAUUCUUCUGAAAUAUUUCAUGAGCUGUUUCAUGUGAUUGUGUUCGGGUCACAAAUUACCAUGCAAAUGAUGAAGACUCAGUAUGUAAAAUAAAAAAUGCUACACCAGAGCUUCAAGAAGAGUUUCCAUGAAGUGACUUUCCAGUUUCAACACUGAAUUUCUGUUAUUUUGACAUGAAGGAGAGAACGAUCCAAGAAGUAUGAGAGGCCAGGCCCACCAGGGUGGGGUCCAUCAGCUGCCAUCCUGAGACACACAGUGCCUCAACUGGGACUCAGCAAAGACACUGCUGGCUGAUAAACUCGGGCACAAACUGUCUGUUUUCCAUCAAACCAUUCUUCAUUUCUGCUAAUCCUUUCUAGCCAGGAACUGGAUUCCUCUGGCUCCCUAAAUUUACCUGUGAAAAAGACACUGAACCCCCCCAAUUUUCAGCUGGUUGCUGAUACGUUUCCUCAGGAAUUUCUCUGUGAGCAGAGUGCAGGUAUUUCUAUCAAGAUGUUUCUGUUUGACAAAGGCACUGUUUAGUGACCACACCAUCAGUUUGUGCCACAUGACAAAAGCAUUUCCAGUGAACUGUGUUUUCCAAGGGCUGCCAAGUCCGUGUGUGCUCCUGAUAACUCCCCGUCCCACGGAUCGGAUCGAGGUGUCAGCGCUGCCAACGCCAGGUAAUGGGAAGGACAGAAAUCAGCCACUGCAGGGGUCGGGUUUAUUGGGGCUGGAGACACUACAAGAUUCUGUUGUGGCCAGAUUUGUUUCUGAGAAGGAAGAGCUGAGCCUGCUGGAUCCAUCAAGGGCUGUGGAGGCAUGGCCGCCCCCGGGGUGACACCGUGAGCAGCUUGUGUGACCCACCCUGCACCCCACCCCACCCUGGCAGGGCUGCACAGCCAACCUUGCAAUUAUAAACACAUCAGGAGGGUUUAUUUUGUCUCCAGGGCUACCACUGCUCUCUCAAAAAAAUAAGAUUUAGGAUGUGAGUGUCACCGAGUUACACUUUGGGUAAGUCCCGAGGGUGGCUGGGGGAGCAAACUCUGGAAAUGGGUUAAAGUCCUUUAAGUUUUUAGAGAUGUCCACACAACACAUGGACUGGAGGGAACAGGUGACACUUCCUCAGAGCCACAGAACAAAUUAACAGCAACACUAAAGAGACUGGCUGGAGCACAUCCCGAAACCCAACAACUUAGGCAGGAACCUGUGUUGUGUCAAUGAACUCCAAGCCUCUAAAAACCCUUUUUUGUAACAAAAAAUGAAGUGGAUGACCUUGGAUAUUGUUGAGAUUUCAGUAAGUUUUUAUGGAAGACUAACUUUUUUUUAGCAUCAGAAUGGGUUUUCCGUGUCUGCUACGUGAGCCAGGUGGGAGGUUCAAGGGGAUGUGUCAGAGAAAGGAGGCAAAACAGCUGCUAGAAAACAGAUCUGAGGGGGGAAAGUGUAGUAAACAGGAGAGUGUAAGAGGCUUUUUCUAAGUGGAAACAAGGAAGUGAAGAAACUCAAGAUAAGAGCAAAGGAGGAUGUCUAAGAACAAACAGUUGAUAACGUGCCGUGAUAAAGAAACUGUUGUUGCCAGAACAAGUUCUUCAGCAAGAAGGAAAUGCAGAACAAAGUGGGGCAGAUGAGCAUGUUCCAAAGAUGCUCUUUUUUCCCCAAAAAAUUCAAGAGUUCAGAGAGCUGCAGUAAAUUAUAGUUGAUGUGAUGGCUCACAAACAUCACAAUGCAUGGCAAAGAAAACUAAAGAAGUUACUGGUAAAAACUAAAGAAGUUACUCAGUUAAAAAGCAAGUUUAAAGCAGCCCGUGAAAACAUACUUAGGUAAAAGCAAAGUGCUGUACACAAAAAACCUCCAUAUUCCCAAAAGUUUGUUUGGAAGUAGUUUUUUUUUUUAAUUUUUAAUGGAACAAGGAUUUAAAUCCCCUGAACAUUAACAAGUCGGUUUUUUCCUCCCAAUACCCAUUUUCCUGCUUUUCUGUUAAAAUUCCCUGGUGUAACUCAUGAUCAGGCUUCCCAGCAGUGUAAUAACAGUCACUACAAGUGUGUCAUUCUUACCAACAUAAAUAACUUCACUCCAGUCACUCCAAAGUCCUCUCAUACACCACGUGUGAUGAUUAGCUCUGAUCUGGAUGGAAUAUCUGCUGGUGACAUCAAUCCUCAAGCGGAAUUUGUUUGAGGAUAAUUUCAAUAUCUGAUAGGAAAACAAUUGUGCUGUUAUAGAUCCCUAAACAAUUCAGAAAAUUGAUCACUUUUAUUUUUUUGGCUUUUAAAACUGCUCCACUACAUUAACUCUGAGGUUCUGGCCUUGCUUUUGAGGUAAAAAUCUCUAUUUCUAUAAGUGUAACUUCUCUCACAACACACCAAUAUUUCAGGGCAAAUUCUUGGAGGAUGCCUCAUUUUUACAUUCUUCCUUAAGACACUUUAGCAGGAUUUUCAGGAUGGUAAAAACUGUUCUGAACCCAGAAGCAUGAAAGUGAAUAACUCCAAUUUUGUCCUCCUGCUCUCCCAAGUCUCUUGGGGAUACUUUGUUGCAGACAUAAAACAGGAAAAACAUAAAACCUGGCGAGACUUUGGUUUUGUUGUGUUUCCCAUCACAAAUGGGAACCAGUUUCACCAGAAGUCCACAGUUCCAAAAAUGUAAUAAUUGCAGGUUUUACUUUUAAAUGUUUAAAUUCUGUAACUGAUCCAUGAAUUUGAAGACCUUUUUCACCCUAAAGGCAAAUUGCAGCUCUCCAGGACAGGAAUGCUGGAUAAUACUGGAGUGGCAGAGGAGCAAUUACCUGCUUGUUACCUGACUUCAGGUUGACGAGGUAAAAUUCAUAUUCAAAGCAUUCCUCGUGGAAAAGAGAAAUUGGCUUCUCCCAAGUGGCCAGGAGAUGGUUUUCCUCCAAGGAUACAGUGAUAUUUCUGGGAACAUUCACUUUCUCUACAAAAGAAAACUCUCCUGGUAAGUUAUUUAUAGAGCAAAGUUUAAAUACUGACAGUUGGAGCAUUUUAUUAACUGAUGGUGUUUCCAAGUAGCACCUAUAAUUCUUGAAUGUAUUUCACCUUUUGGGCAGAAAAGAUAAGGAUUUAGGUGGAGUAACUACUUAGCAGAAAAUAGUUAUGGGAAAACAGUUUGGAAGGUCCACUUAAAAGUUUUGGACAACUAGAUUAUGGGGAGAGAAGGGGAUUUAUUAAAUUAAUUCUCACAAAAGCAUAAAUUAAUGAUAGAGGUUAGAAAAACUUCUUUUCAGGAAAAAAAAGCAAACAGGUAUAGCCAGGAAAGUCACUGAAAAUGGAAUAAGUUCAAAGGAAUGGAUCAGCAGCUGUUAGGGGGAUGCUUUCUAAGAAGAAAAUAUGUGAAUUUUUCUCUUAGUGAAGACAUGAAAAAGGGAAAUAUUGUCUGUUCACAAAAAAAGGUCAUUGAACUAAUGAAGGAAAAUAAAUUAUUUGUGUAGAUGGAAGAUGAUGGACAGUCAUGGCUGAGGUUGUCCUUUAUUUGACAGUAUAAUGCCUUUCUUUAAAAGAACAUGGUUAUCUUGAGCAUCGUGUUCUUUUGCCUUUUAAAGAAAGGCUGCAAAAUAAAGGGUAGUAAAAACUGUAUUUUAAGGUAUAUUGAGUACAUCAAUUGCAAAUUAAUAUUGGAAAUACUGCUUUUGCUAAAAAAACAGCAUAACUCUGUUUUCUACCUUUUAUUUUUGUCAUUCUAUAAUUUAAAAUAAAUCACUCAAAUCAAAUUUAGUUAAAACAAUCCAGUUCUCUCUUAUAAUCUCUUCCAAUUUCAUUAAGAUGUCUGUACAAAGCCAGCAGUUCACCUUCAUCAAGAAUAAUUGAAUCCAGCAGUAUUUUCUCACGAAUCUUUUGAUAAUCCUGGUAGACAUUUUUAAUAUAUAUAUUUUUUUAAAUGUAUUGAACUCACCAAUGGCAUUUGGGUUAAAUAACUGCUGAAAAGGCUUGAUUGCAGCACGUUUGCUGGACCCAUUAAUGUGGAUUACGAGAUCUUCAGCCUCCUGGGGAUCAAUGUGAGUCCCUGGAAAGCUGCAGCCAGAAUUCCUGGCCCGCUUGUCUUUGGCAUAAUGGGGACAUUCCUCAGUGUGGUUCUUGUACCUAAAUUCAAACGCCUGUGAGACGUGAUGCCCUUAAAGAAAUCCCCUGCUGAGUGAAAAGGGGGAAAACACCAACCUGUAAAACAGAAAGUACUCGGUAUCUUGUGGUGCCCCUGGGCCAGGAAGCCAAGAGCAGCUCAGAGAGACAGUCCCAGAAACGGUGAGGUGAGUGACACAGGACAAAUUGGUGAUGGAUGUCUCCGGAGCACCUGGAGAGUCAAGGAAUUACAGAGCAGAAGGAAAAUCUUAUUGCAAAAAUCAGGAGAAAUUCAUGCUGCUAAAACACUCUGAAUCCAGCCUUUGGCCUGUUUGUUGCAGUUCUCUUCCAUGUCACUCUUGGUUACGGAUGGAUGGAGAUUCCCAAUCUGUGUAAGUAAAGCUGUGCCACGCAGCACCAUUAUAAAUGUAAUGUGUAAUAAGGCAACAAUAUCCCAGAGUGCACCACAGUAGGUGAUCUCAGCCUUAGCAAGGAAUUUUUAGAAUAUUUUAUAUGUGUUAUCCAUUUUCUGCACCUCCAGAUUGUCCUGGAGAUUAGAAUAGAAAGGCCUGGACUAAAUCCUUUUGUAAGACCAGUGGAGCAAAAUGUUCCAUUUUUUGAAGUAUUAAACCUUCCACCAUUUGGGGCAGAACACAAAAUGCAGACCUUCCCUGGGUUUCUCCUUACCUGGCAGAGGUGGGAGGUUUUCCUGCACCCACUCACUUCUCAUCUGAAGGUCGUUGUGGAGAAGCAGCGUCCGGACGUGCGCGGAGAAGCCGUCGUGGAGCGCGACCGUUCGGACACUGUGGGUCUUCCUGGUGUCAUACUUGGAAUAAAAAGUAUCAAAUAAGCAUCCCACGGGAUGGAAGCUGAAAUAAGGCACCUGCAAAGACUGAGCCAGACAUUAAGUUGACCUGAACGUGGAGCCUGUACUUAAAACCGGUACCAUCAUCCCCUCAAGGUGAACCCUGCAGGGAAAGCCAAUUCCCAGGCUAAUCCUCGUCCCAGCAGAGCUGUGUCUGUAAGGAAAGCUCAAAGGGAAUCUCUCCAGUGCUCAGAGUUUAGGUGUAAGAGAAUAAUAGGAAUUUAGCCUUCUCAGGAUACUUGUUUUAUUUCUCUUACCUCUUCAGGCACAGGGCUGAGGAUUUUCACAUCAUAUCUAAUGGUGUCAUUUUUUUGGUCUUGAGCAGGGUUUGGUUCCCAGUGUAACAGGACUUGUGCUAAUGCAGAGACUGUAAGGGUGAAGUUAACAGGUGGGAAAACCUGAACUGCAAGGGAGAAAACAAAAAUAUUCAUGGCAUACUAAUGCAGUGAAUUGUUUAGAGUGAUACCUGUUUGCAAGCAGUGAGAAAGACAAGCAAAUUUCCAUUUCAUAUUCUCUCAACAGCUUCUUAUAAUAUGUUUUUAAUAUUUGAAAAAUAUCUUUAAAUAACUAAAACCUUAUCAAAUAAGAGUUUACUUAAAACUUAGCCUUAAAAAUGGAUGUUUACAACAGUUUCAACUUGAAAAUGAGUAUGAUAUGUUACAUUUGGCUUGUUAAUUUGGUUCAGGUUUUUCAUCCUGGUCCUCAUGGCCACACAGAUAUAUAGAAACAGGGCUGAUGGAAGGUACAAACAAUUCUCACCCACAGAAGCUUCCAGAGGAGCAUAACAUGGGGGGGCUUUCUAAGAGGAGGUUGAAAGCCACAAGAGUAGAACCAAAAUGAUGAACAGAGGAAUUAAGCACAAAUGGAAGAAAACAUAGAAGGAUGAGAAUGAUAAUUUAGAAUGACAGGGCAAAAGGGAUCCCUGGAGCUCCCAUGGAAAUGAGGAGGGUCUCCUGCUGGGGGAAAUGUUAGUAUAGAAAUAGCAAGGCAGGGAAAUAAUCAAUCUGCUCCCCUCCAGUUCUUCAGUGCCUGCCCUCCCUUAUUUCCCAUCUCCAAGGCAGUUGAGGGCCAUCAGCAUCUCUGGAAGUGUUCAGGGCCAGGCUGGAUAUGGCUCUGAACACUCUGGUCCAGUGGAAGGUGUCCCUGCCCAUGGCAGGGGGUGGAAUGAGAAGAGAUUUAAGAUCCCUUCCAAGACAAACCACUCUGGGAUUCCAUGAUCACCCUCCACUUCUCCCCUAAUUUCAACCUUUGAUAACCAUGAAUUCAGCAUUCAAGCACACAGCUUCCAUCAGGAAAACUGCCCCAUAAAGGCUCAGAAAACCAAGACAAACCAUCCUGAAGUGCCCAGCCCAGAGGACAGUGGCACAAGGAGCAUCUCCAUGGUUCUUCCCUCUCAAAGCCAGACAGUCCUCAGGCAGUGGCUGGGAGCAAUGUGGGAUAGGAUACAACUGUCCCAGAAGGCAUGUUAUCCAUGAUCCAGUACUCAUGGCAUGCCAUGGACUCCGUAGAACAGUGACCAACACACAGAGGGCAUUUGCACACCCUGUGGUGCUAAAGCUACACGUUGGCAGAAGGAAAACACCUCACCUCGUGCAGCUUGGGGUGUGUUGGGCUGAACUGAGUGGGCUGUCCAAAGGAGGAUCAGACAAACUUGCAUCCUGCUGGCCUUCAUCUCUAGAUGGUGAAGGAGCACAGCCAGGCAUCAGCAGAGGGGCCUUGGCACCAUCUUACAGAGCCUGGGAGCAAAAAGUGAACACGAUCCUAAGGGUUAAGCACUCAAAAAAUAUCCACGGGAUCAAAAGAAUGAAACUGCAGGGAUAGAGCCCUCUUUCCUUGCAGGAAAACACUUCUUGUAAGAGCUGAAUUUAAUGUAAAUACCACCAUUCAUUUUGCUCCCUUUGCCUCUCCCAGCCCUCUCUGAAAGAGCUGCUGGUUUCAAACCCUGUUGUGUGGGGAUGUUCAGAGCAGUCAUGGAAUUAGAGCAUUUCUCCACGGAGAGGAGUGUGUUGGGUUCAGGUAGAUUGGCUUUCAGCAGAGUCCUAUUUCCUCCAAGAACAGAAGUAACCAUAUUUUUAGCUGCCACUAGAUAUAAAAUAGCUCCUUACUGGAAUUUACUUUCUAGCUGCUGUUUCAGUAAAGCUCUCUAAAGAUGCAGUCAGUGCUCACCUCAAGGCUAAUUCUUCAGUGUUAAUUAUUGGGUGUAGGAGAAACUGUUUUGUUUGUUUCUCAUUUAAAUGAACAACUCUUUUUAAUGCUUAAAACCAGCACGUUCUCAUGCUUCCUGUGGAUUGUUUCAUGAAUUACUAGGAGGAAAAAAAAAAAUCUAUGUGUAAUCACUCAUGUGUAACCCAAGAUAAAUAUGGACAUACAGAACAGCAGCUUUCCAAAAUGUUCUUCCCGAAGAGAAAUACGCCCUCCUGGCCCAAUCUCACUCCUUCCCUGGGGCACUACAGCAAUUGCUUGUAUGGAAAACAUAAUAUUUUCCAAUGGUAAUGAGCAGAGAAAGCAUCUUUAGCCCAUCAGUUCUCCCUGAACCUCCAAUGAAUCACCCAGGGACUGAGUUAUGACCCGACUGAUCACAGUUGGAGCAAUUCUGCUUUACAGUAACUAUUUUUCAAAGUGGUGCAUGAGUGCAGAGUUCAUUAAAGUGCCACAUAAUCUA